rnacentral:rRNA from 1 species
AUUGAACGCUGGCGGCAGGCCUAACACAUGCAAGUCGAGCGGAUGAUGGGAGCUUGCUCCUGGAUUCAGCGGCGGACGGGUGAGUAAUGCCUAGGAAUCUGCCUGGUAGUGGGGGACAACGUUUCGACAGGAACGCUAAUACCGCAUACGUCCUACGGGAGAAAGCAGGGGACCUUCGGGCCUUGCGCUAUCAGAUGAGCCUAGGUCGGAUUAGCUAGUAGGUGAGGUAAAGGCUCACCUAGGCGACGAUCCGUAACUGGUCUGAGAGGAUGAUCAGUCACACUGGAACUGAGACACGGUCCAGACUCCUACGGGAGGCAGCAGUGGGGAAUAUUGGACAAUGGGCGAAAGCCUGAUCCAGCCAUGCCGCGUGUGUGAAGAAGGUCUUCGGAUUGUAAAGCACUUUAAGUUGGGAGGAAGGGCAGUAAGUUAAUACCUUGCUGUUUUGACGUUACCGACAGAAUAAGCACCGGCUAACUUCGUGCCAGCCGCCGCAGUAAAAC